AUUGAACGCUGGCGGCAGGCCUAACACAUGCAAGUCGAACGGUAACAGGAAGAAGCUUGCUUCUUUGCUGACGAGUGGCGGACGGGUGAGUAAUGUCUGGGAAACUGCCUGAUGGAGGGGGAUAACUACUGGAAACGGUAGCUAAUACCGCAUAACGUCGCAAGACCUAAGAGGGGGACCUUCGGGCCUCUUGCCAUCGGAUGUGCCCAGAUGGGAUUAGCUAGUAGGUGGGGUAACGGCUCACCUAGGCGACGAUCCCUAGCUGGUCUGAGAGGAUGACCAGCCACACUGGAACUGAGACACGGUCCAGACUCCUACGGGAGGCAGCAGUGGGGAAUAUUGCACAAUGGGCGCAAGCCUGAUGCAGCCAUGCCGCGUGUAUGAAGAAGGCCUUCGGGUAGUAAAGUACUUUCAGCGGGGAGGAAGGGAGUAAAGUUAAUACCUUUGCUCAUUGACGUUACCCGCAGAAGAAGCACCGGCUAACUCCGUG
rnacentral:rRNA from 1 species